rnacentral:rRNA from 1 species
UAGGGAAUCUCCACAAUGGACGCAAGUCUGAUGGAGCAACGCCGCGUNAGUGAAGAAGGUUUUCGGAUCGUAAAGCUCUGUUGUUGGUGAAGAAGGAUAGAGGCAGUAACUGGCCUUUAUUUGACGGUAAUCAACCAGAAAGUCACGGCUAACUACGUGCCAGCAGCCGCGGUAAAUACGUAGGUGGCAAGCGUUGUCCGGAUUUAUUGGGCGUAAAGCGAGCGCAGGCGGAAGAAUAAGUCUGAUGUGAAAGCCCCUCGGCUUAACCGAGGAAUUGCAUCGGA